CCAUCCCUCCCCCCUCCCCUUCUUUCCUCCUCCCCAUCCCCCUUCCCCCCAUCGGUCCGGGGGUCGCGGGGGGGCGAGGCCGCAUUUCUCCGGGACCCAACUAGCCGGGGCGCGUGGCUCGAGCGGCGGCCACCAUGCCCCACUUCCUGGACUGGUUCGUGCCCGUCUACCUCGUGAUCUCCAUCCUCAUCCUGGCAGGCUUCGGCGCUUGCAUCUACUACUUCGAGCCCGGCCUGCAGGACGCCCACAAGUGGCGGACCGAAAGGCCCCUCGUGGACCGGGACAUCCGGAAAACGCUCAUGAUCCGGGACAAUCUGGCCUUCGGCAUCCCCGAAGUCUGAGGGGCGCACGGUGGGGGUGGGCAGAGCCCCGGGCACCACUUGCUCCGCUCUGCCCCGUGUCGCCAGUGGCCGGCGGUGGGGAGAGGACGGGGGAGUCACCAGGCCUCCCUCCUUGCCAUCCUCACCCACCCUCCAUUUUUCUCUGCCUCCAGGGCAUCUGCGCUCUCCAGAACCCCUGCCAGCUGUGUGCCAAAUCUGCUCUCGCCCAGCCUCCCUGGGAGCCUUCCCAACUGGGGGGUGCAUGCCCAGCCUCCCCAGCUCAUGUCUGACCUCCUCAGCCUCUGCCUGUCCCCCACACCCACCAGCAGUCAUUCACUCCAUUUAUUAGUGGGGCAAGCAGACUGACGGACCCGUGGACCCCAGGGAACUUCCACCGGGCAAGGCUCUGCGGUUGUUCCUUUGGUCUAGUGUGUGGUCCCAGAAAUCUUAUAGCUCCCGCAGGCCUUGGGGACAAUCUUGCCGGCCCAAUCACACCCCACGCCCACGAUCCCCUCCCCAGACACCGGAACCCCCAAAUGGGUGGGGGGAGAGGCUCUGGGGGAGCCAGUCUCACUUCUUUUGGGAGAAAGGCUGGCCCAGAUGAGCUGACGGCCCCUUCCCCUCCACCAUCCCAAGCCCCCAUCCCUCCUCACCGUGCCCCCCAUGGCACUCACUGAGUGAGGUGCCUAGCACUCCUGAUUCCCCGGGGCACCUGUGCAGGGGAAGGGGGGGUGAAUACUACCAUUCCACUAAUUCCCCCCUCAGUAAACUGUGCAUCGAGCCACCUCCCAAUCAGACCCCUUGCUUGCCCGCUUCGGCCCCCGCCUCCGCUCACUCGGACGUAUUCCUGUCCGCCCCCUCCUCCCGGCUCUGCCCCCAGAGAGAUCGUGGGGAGGAAAUCCAUCCCCGCCCUAACCACGACCAAGCCCGGGGCUUCGGGGACAAACAGCCAAGUACCAGAAAACAGCUCCAGAUCCAGGGCCAGCAGUGGGAAGGCCCAGGCUAGAGGCAGUUUUGUCACAGUAGGAAGGGGACUCACGGUGCUGUGGGGCCCCCGGGGUGGAAAUGACAUCUCUGUUCCCUACAUCGCUGACCUCGGUGCUUCCAGACCAAGCCCUGUCCCUCAGCCUGCACCAGAAUAUUCGGGACAAAAGAUGGGAGCUAUGCCGAGGGAGUGAAAGGCAAGGCCUGGCAUAGCCUUACUUGGGCAUGGGUGUACAGCCUGGACGGGGGGCCAGGUGCUCUGCUCUCUGCCAGUGCCAAUGUCGCCCUCCCCCCCCCCCGCCCAUGGACCACCCCUUGCUGCUAAAACUGUUCCGAUGGGAAGGGGGAUUUGGAGGGAGAAAGGGGGAAGGGAAGAGGAAAAUUGUCACAGAGGGAGCAUAUAGAUAGACCCUCUCUUCUCACUUUGAGGGUUGGUGGCUGCUAUGGGCACAGACCCAGUUGUCCCCAGUUCUGCCCCUCGUGGCACUUGGCCCUUCCCCAAACCCCUGCCCAGUCAAGACCCUUCAGAGGGCGCCGUAUCCCCCAAGUCAGGGUGCGGGGGUCUCCGUGAUCAGGGGACCCCAAAGGACAGACCAAGGGGGUCUCAACCCCUGCCCCUCUUCACCCCUUCCCUCUCAUCUGCAAAAUGGCUCUAGCAGUCCUUGUCGGUGUCUGCACAUCCCUGCAGGGCGUGGGUGGGUGUAGGGUGGGCAGACACUUUAGAGGCUGCUUUUUAGGGCUCAGCAGGACCUCACUUUGUUCUGCUCGGGCUCUAAGUGCCAAGGCCACCCCUCUUCCCGCCUCAUCAUCCCCUCUUCCCACCCCGUCACCUUUUACCGCCACCCCUCACCCCCACGAGAGCUAAAGACCAAGUCCAAUUCCCAGUCCGACUAAUCUGAGCCUCGUUGCCUGGUUUGAGCCAUGGGGGCCCCCCACCCAGCAAUUCUGGGGGUGCCUCACCCAGACUGCCCCUCCUCCUGCUAAAUUUCACUUUUGUCAAGAGGCCUAAGCAUCUUUAUGCAAAUAUAUGUGCAAACUGACUAUCUCAAA